rnacentral:tRNA from 1 species
GAGGGUAUAGCUCAAGUCGUAGAGUGAGUGCUUAGCAAGCAUGAGGUCCUGGGUUCAAUCCCCAGAACCCCCU